rnacentral:rRNA from 1 species
CUUUCAGACGAGGAUAACAGUUGGAAACGACUGCUAAGACUGGAUAGGAAGUUUUAAGGCAUCUUGAAACUUUUAAAAGACCCGCAAGGGUAUGCUGAGAGAUGGGCUUGCGGCACAUUAGUUAGUUGGUAAGGUAACGGCUUACCAAGACCAUGAUGUGUAGCUGGACUGAGAGGUUGAACGGCCACAUUGGGACUGAGAUACGGCCCAAACUCCUACGGGAGGCAGCAGUAAGGAAUUUUCGGCAAUGGAGGAAACUCUGACCGAGCAACGCCGCGUGAACGAUGAAGUAUUUAGGUAUGUAAAGUUCUUUUAUUAAAGAAGAAAAAAUGAUGGAAAAAUCAUUCUGACGGUAUUUAAUGAAUAAGCCCCGGCUAACUAUGUGCCAGCAGCUGCGGUAAUACAUGGGGGGCAAGCGUUAUCCGGAUUUAUUGGGCGUAAAGGGUGCGUAGGCGGUUUAAUAAGUCUAUGGUCUAAGUUCAACGCUUAACGUUGUGAUGCUAUAGAAACUGUUUGACUAGAGUUGGAUAGAGGCAAGUGGAAUUCCAUGUGUAGCGGUAAAAUGCGUAAAGAUAUGGAGGAACACCAGUAGCGAAGGCGGCUUGCUGGGUCUUAACUGACGCUGAGGCACGAAAGCGUGGGGAGCAAACAGGAUUAGAUACCCUGGUAGUCCACGCCGUAAACGAUGAGUACUAAGUGUUGGGU